GGCCGACUAGCUCAGUUGGUUAGAGCGUCGUGCUAAUAUGGACACCGACACCGAUACGGCCCAGGGUGUGGGAUAUUAACGCGAAGGUCUUGGGUUCGAUCCCCACGUUGGCCA